CCACGCCGUAAACGUUGGGCGCUAGGUGUGGGGCUCAUUCCACGAGUUCCGUGCCGCAGCUAACGCAUUAAGCGCCCCGCCUGGGGAGUACGGCCGCAAGGCUAAAACUCAAAGGAAUUGACGGGGGCCCGCACAAGCGGCGGAGCAUGUUGCUUAAUUCGAUGCAACGCGAAGAACCUUACCUAGGCUUGACAUGCACGGAAAUCCUCCAGAGAUGGUGGGUCCGUAAGGGCCGUGCACAGGUGGUGCAUGGUUGU
rnacentral:rRNA from 1 species